rnacentral:rRNA from 1 species
UACAGAGGGUGCGAACGUUGCUCGGAAUUACUGGGCGUAAAGCGCGUGUAGGCGGAGCCGCAAGUCAGAUGUGAAAGCCCCGGGCUCAACCCGGGAACUGCAUCUGAAACUGCGGUUCUUUGAGUACUGGAGAGGGUGGCGGAAUUCCUGGUGUAGUGGUGGAAUGCGUAGAGAUCCGGAGGAACACCAGCGGCGAAGGCGGCAUCCUGGACUGGUCCUGACACUCAUGAGCGAAAGCGUGGGAGCGAGUCCGG